GGGGAGAUGGCUCAAUGGUAAGUACCU
rnacentral:piRNA from 1 species